rnacentral:rRNA from 1 species
CCAAUAGCGUAUAUUAAAGUUGUUGCAGUUAAAAAGCUCGUAGUUGAAUUUCGGGGUCAGUAGGUCGGUCGUGCCACCGGUAUGUACUGGUCUCACUGAUUCCUCCUUCUUGAAGAACCGUAAUGUCAUUAACUUGGUGUUGCGGGGAAACAGGACUGUUACUUUGAAAAAAUUAGAGUGUUUAAAGCAGGUCAUCGCCUGAAUACAUUAGCAUGGAAUAAUGAAAUAGGACGUUCGAUCCUAUUUUGUUGGUUUCUAGGAUUGACGUAAUGAUUAAUAGGGAUAGUUGGGGGCAUUAGUAUUCAAUUGUCAGAGGUGAAAUUCUUGGAUUUAUUGAAGACUAACUACUGCGAAAGCAUUUGCCAAGGAUGUUUUCAUUAAUCAAGAACGAAAGUUAGGGGAUCGAAGACGAUCAGAUACCGUCGUAGUCUUAACCAUAAACUAUGCCGACUAGGGAUCGGAUGAUGUUAAUUUUUUAAUGACUCAUUCGGCGCCUUACG